CAGAAGGCAGGGUUUCAGAGAGAGGGGGAAAGAUCCCUGCAGUCCAUCUCUUGGCAGUAGCACAUGGGGAAACCUGCAGGGGGAAGAGGAAGUUUAGAGGGAGAGUGAGUCUUGGGAUCCUCUCCUGGGUAGAGAACUCUGGCAAGAGAUCAGAAAAGAUAUAGAGAAGUUACCAUUGUGGCACAGAUUCUAGAGGUAAGCCCUGAUUAAAGGGGCAAGACCUGGACCUGGACCUGCAGGGAGAAAACCCUGGGAGGCAGUCAGCUGAGGAAUAGAGCCCAGAGGAAAUUUAAGAGGGAUGAAACCUCCUGCCUGAGGAGGUCAUAAGUGGUUUAAAUUGGUAAGCACCUGCCCUGAAAGGAGGGUCAACCUUGAGAGGCUGUGGAGCCAGGGAAGAUGGAGAGAUCAUGACACCCUGGAAAAAAAGAUGCCCCGUGGGGAGGCAAACCAGAAGGCUCACACCUCUGGGGUGGAGCUUUAGAAGAGGAUAUGUCUAAGCUACUCUGGUAUUUUGGCAGCAGGAGGGAGCACUGAUCUUGCAGUUUAGGGUUACCUAUGCUGUGGCGUUUUCCAUACAGCACAUAAUGCAACACUGAGGGGCAGACACAAAGAAGCCACAGCAGAAAACAGCUACCUGGAUGGAACAGCUCCUCAGUUUGCUACUCUAGUAGUUGGUGAGCCUCCCAAGAGGCUGAAAAUCCCAGGGCCACCCUCCACGCUAGCUGCUGCAGAUCAAACUCAGAAACCACAUUUCCGCAGCUGCACAUAACAAAAUGACCAGGGGAGCCAGCAGCAAAAAUUAUUAAAUGCCAAGAACAUGGGGAACAAAAGACCAGAUCGCCAUGUAGAGUGUGAAUAUGGGUCAUUCAUCUGAGUGUGCAUCAAGGAGGGCUGGAAGGGACCUUUGAAGUUCUGCCAUGAAGUUUUCCAUCAUCAUUCUGUGGAAUGCAAUUCAUAAACCUUUAUUGACUCCAGUUGCAGACCAUGGGUCAGAUUCAUCCUUGAAGUCAAGGGAGUUACAUCAUGAAUUAACUCAAUUUGUUGAUAGCUACAAAGAAUCAGAUACAUCUCCCGGCUAAUCAGUGACCCAAAGUCUGGUGUCAACUGCUAGUCUAGUACAGCAUGGUUAAGCAUCUCUCAGAAGUGAAUUUCUUUCUGGUACCAUCUGUUUGUCUGCAGCAAUCUGCUUUCAUAUUCUGGUAUAAUAAUUUUAAGGGCUGGGUUUCAUUACAUGCCCAAACAAUGUGACUACACCACUGUAGUUUACAUUUUCUUUCCUUCCCUCCCUCUUUUCUC